AUUGAACGCUGGCGGCAGGCCUAACACAUGCAAGUCGAACGAGUGGCGGACUGGUGAGUAAUGUCUGGGAAACUGCCUGAUGGAGGGGGAUAACUACUGGAAACGGUAGCUAAUACCGCAUACCAUCGGAUGUGCCCAGAUGGGAUUAGCUAGUAGGUGAGGUAAAGGCUCACCUAGGCGACGAUCCCUAGCUGGUCUGAGAGGAUGACCAGCCACACUGGAACUGAGACACGGUCCAGACUCCUACGGGAGGCAGAAGUGGGGAAUAUUAGACAAUGGGCGCAAGCCUGAUGCAGCCAUGCCGCGUGUAUGAAGAAGGCCGUCGGGUUGUAAAGUACUUUCAGCGGGGAGGCGUUACCCACAGAAGAAGCACCGGCUAACUCCGUGCCAGCAGCCGCGGUAAUUC
rnacentral:rRNA from 1 species